UGUGUGCUCCCUCCGUUCCAAAAUACUUGACUUCCAUUUUUCCAAAAAUGGAUGUACCUAUAUACUAAAACAUGUCUAGAUACAUAUAUAUUUUGACAAAUAGAAGGCAUGUAUUGUGCAACGGAGGGAGUAGAAU
rfam:Triticum aestivum genome assembly, contig: Triticum_aestivum_CS42_TGACv1_scaffold_321452_4BL